AUAUAUAUAACCGUGAGCCUUUAAGGGAAUCAAAGAAAAGAGAUUGAAACGUGGCUCAUAUGUAUACAUCUACACAUAUAUAACAAUGACACCUCACCAUCCUCACUAAUCAAAAUCUCUACCUAUCUCCUUUCAUUAAUUCAUUAUUGCCACGGACAGGGAGAAGAAAGAAAGGCCGAGAGAGAGACCGUGGGUGAGGGAGGAAACCAUGACUCCCUUUGAUCUUUCGACUUCGAUUUCUUGAGAUUUGUAAUUCCAAUAAAAAAUCUAAUCCGAUAAAAGUGUUCAUAUCCUCUUCCUUUAUAUGUUAGUGUUACUUUUGUUCGGUAGAAGUCGACGGUGAUGUAGCUCUCCUGUCCCUUGAGUUCGACUAACUGGAAUUCUAGGAGUGACACAGGUUCAAAGACUCAGCUUGAAGCCGCGGAUGGUUAUUAGUUUUAUCUGAGUAAGUUAUGAGUUGAGUUAUUUUCAUAGAGUUCCCUCGCCUCUGUUAAUUAGGAGUUUAUUUUACCCAGAGGGAUAAGUAAUGUUUUCGAGUUUUAUAUUGAAUUUGUUUGUAUGAAAUUUAUUAUUAGUAAUAACUAUGUGAUUACUAUUA